GGCCAUGUUGGUUAACAAAUCCUCAUCUGCUGGACGUCUGGCGAUGAUCUUUAUCGGUUGUCGUCAGUUGCCCAGCACGUUUACUUUGAGAAAAUUAGAGUGCUAAAAGCAGGCUCACGCCUAUAUAUAUUGCAUGGAAUAAUGAAAUAAAAUCUCUAUUUUAUUUCUUUGGUUUUAGAAAUUGAGAUAAUGAUUAAUAGGAUCAGAGGGGGGCGUACGUACUGUGGUGUGAGAGGUGAAAUUCUUGGAUCUCCACACGACAAAAAGCACCGAAAGCGUUCUCCAAGAAUGUUUUCAUUUAUCAAGAACGAAAGUUUGAGGUUAGAAAACAAUAAGACACCGUCCUAGUUCACACCAUAAACGUUGCCAACUGUCUUUUAGAUGCGGUUAUAUAUAUGACUCACCUGGCGGAUCUCGAGAAAUCUAAGUUUUUAGGUUCCGGGGGAAGUAUGGUUGCAAAGCUGAAACUUAAAAGAAUUGACGGAAGGACACACAAGAAGUGGAGCCUGUGGCCUAAUUUGACUCCACACGGGACACCUUACUCGCCCAGGACACUUUUAGGAUUGACAGAUUGAGAGCUCUUUCUUGAUUAGGUGGGUGGUGGUGCAUGGUCGUUCGUAGUUCGUGGAGCGAUUUGUCUGAUUAAUUUCGAUAACGAACGAGACUCCGGCUUACUAAAUAGUCUAAAGUUCGAAGGGACUUUUCAAGACUUCUUAGCAGGAUAAGUGG
rnacentral:rRNA from 1 species